UACAGGGGGUGCAAACGUUGCUCGGAAUCAUUGGGCGUAAAGCGCACGUAGGCGGUCUGUUAUGUCGGAUGUGAAAGCCCUUGGCUUAACUGAGGAAGUGCAUCCGAAACUGGCAGGCUAGAGUACUAAAGAGGGUCGCGGAAUUCCCGGUGUAGAGGUGAAAUUCGUAGAUAUCGAGAAGAACACCAGUGGCGAAGGCGGCUCACUGGCCCGGAACUGACGCUGAGACGCGAAAGCGUGGGGAGCAAACAGG
rnacentral:rRNA from 1 species